rnacentral:rRNA from 1 species
AUUGAACGCUGGCGGCAUGCCUUACACAUGCAAGUCGAACGGUAACAGGUUAAGCUGACGAGUGGCGAACGGGUGAGUAAUACAUCGGAACGUGCCCAGUAGUGGGGGAUAGCCCGGCGAAAGCCGGAUUAAUACCGCAUACGACCUAAGGGUGAAAGGGGGGGAUCGCAAGACCUCUCGCUAUUAGAGCGGCCGAUGUCAGAUUAGCUAGUUGGUGGGGUAAAAGCUCACCAAGGCGACGAUCUGUAGCUGGUCUGAGAGGACGACCAGCCACACUGGGACUGAGACACGGCCCAGACUCCUACGGGAGGCAGCAGUGGGGAAUUUUGGACAAUGGGCGCAAGCCUGAUCCAGCCAUGCCGCGUGCGGGAAGAAGGCCUUCGGGUUGUAAACCGCUUUUGUCAGGGAAGAAAUCCUUUGGGUUAAUACCUCGGGGGGAUGACGGUACCUGAAGAAUAAGCACCGGCUAACUACGUG